AUACGGAGGGGGCUAGCGUUGUUCGGAAUUACUGGGCGUAAAGCGCGUGUAGGCGGAUCGUUAAGUCAGGGGUGAAAGCCCGGGGCUCAACCCCGGAACUGCCCUUGAUACUGGCGAUCUAGAGUCCGGAAGAGGUGGGCGGAAUUCCCGGUGUAGAGGUGAAAUUCGUAGAUAUCGGGAGGAACACCAGUGGCGAAGGCGGCUCACUGGUCCGGCACUGACGCUGAGGUGCGAAAGCGUGGGGAGCAAACAGGAUUAGAAACCCUAGUAGUCC
rnacentral:rRNA from 1 species